rnacentral:rRNA from 1 species
CCUACGGGGGGCAGCAGUGGGGAAUAUUGGACAAUGGGGGCAACCCUGAUCCAGCCAUGCCGCGUGUGUGAAGAAGGCCCUCGGGUUGUAAAGCACUUUCAGUGAGGAAGAACGCCUGGUGGUUAAUACCCAUCAGGAAAGACAUCACUCACAGAAGAAGCACCGGCUAACUCCGUGCCAGCAGCCGCGGUAAUACGGAGGGUGCGAGCGUUAAUCGGAAUUACUGGGCGUAAAGCGCGUGUAGGUGGCUUGAUAAGCCGGUUGUGAAAGCCCCGGGCUCAACCUGGGAACGGCAUCCGGAACUGUCAAGCUAGAGUGCAGGAGAGGAAGGUAGAAUUCCCGGUGUAGCGGUGAAAUGCGUAGAGAUCGGGAGGAAUACCAGUGGCGAAGGCGGCCUUCUGGACUGACACUGACACUGAGGUGCGAAAGCGUGGGUAGCAAACAGGAUUAGAUACCCGAGUAGUC